CGUUGAUCAGAUUAAUAGCCCUAGGUUCUCUAUCAAUGUUUUGCAGCUCUUGAAAUCCGCUCAGAUGCAGCCUGGAUUGCGGUUUGGCGAUUACGCUCGUUACCGGAGGUACUGUACUGCUCGGCUCAGGAGAUUGU